UGGGGAAUAUUGCACAAUGGGCGAAAGCCUGAUGCAGCAACGCCGCGUGAGUGAUGAAGGCCUUCGGGUUGUAAAGCUCUGUCUUUUGGGACGAUAAUGACGGUACCAAAGGAGGAAGCCACGGCUAACUACGUGCCAGCAGCCGCGGUAAUACGUAGGUGGCAAGCGUUGUCCGGAUUUACUGGGCGUAAAGGAUGCGUAGGCGGAUUUUUAAGUGAGAUGUGAAAACCCUAAGCUUAACUUGGGGACUGCAUUUCAUACUGGAAAUCUAGAGUGCGGGAGAGGAGAAUGGAAUUCCUAGUGUAGCGGUGAAAUGCGUAGAGAUUAGGAAGAACACCAGUGGCGAAGGCGAUUCUCUGGACCGUAACUGACGCUGAGGCAUGAAAAGCGUGGGUAGCAAACAGGAUUAGAUACCCUGGUAGUCCACGCCGUAAACGAUGAGUACUAGGUGUAGGAGGUAUCGACCCCUUCUGUGCCGCAGUUAACACAAUAAGUACUCCGCCUGGGAAGUACGAUCGCAAGAUUAAAAACUCAAAUGAAUUGACGGGGUCAUAGCUGUUUUCCU
rnacentral:rRNA from 1 species